rnacentral:sRNA from 1 species
UAAGAAAGUGUUAAACAUAUUGAACAUAAAACACCUCUUAAGGACCUCAUGCUAUGAACGGGAUGGGAUGUUGUAUCCAAUUAGUUUACACAUAUUUAAAAUUUAACACUUAAAAACCAAAAUAUU